UAAGAAGCCCAGGCCCAAACAAAUAGGUCCAUCUCAACGUCCCUUCUGCGGCCAACCGGCCGCCGGAGCCCGACCGGCCAACCGCAAUGCGCCGGCGGCGGGGGCGACGCAGCGGCAACCGUUCCCCGUCGAGACGAUAGAUCCCACCUUCUGGAGCCCGAUUCCAGCAGUCCUCUGCCGCUGACCCCGCCACUUCUGGCAGAUGCGGGGAAGCAGAGGCGGUGGGAGAAAGGGCAGAGGAACGGCAGGCGCGCGGGGGCAAAGAUCGUGCUCGAGACGAAAAAUUAUAUUUGUGUAAAGGGAAAACUAAAUCUAUGUGGUGCCAGGAAGAGCAGAAGAAAAUCUGCAUGUUCGGUCGCGUAAACACUGAAAAAAAAUGUAUUGUGAAUGUCUUUUGUAAAGAACAAUAUUGAACCAAACACUACUAGUGUUCGAUUGGGUCUGAACUGAUACAGUCGCGCGUGUACUGUGAAUUGUUUACGUGCGUAGUGGUGUGUGUAAAUCUUGUAAAUUGGAUACAUUCCAAAAAAAAAAGUAUCUUGUAAAUUGGAAUCGCAAAGAAGAAAGAACACUGCAGCAUGGUUA